CUAGUAACGGCGAGUGAAGAGGGAAGAAGCUCAAAUUUGAAAGCUGGCACCUCCGGUGUCCGCGUUGUAAUCUCGAGACGUGUUUUCCGUGCGGCGCUAUGGACAAGUUCCUUGGAACAGGACAUCGUAGAGGGUGAAAAUCCCGUACUUGCCAUGGACGUACCGUGCUUUGCGAUACACGCUCUAAGAGUCGAGUUGUUUGGGAUUGCAGCUCAAAAUGGGUGGUAGACUCCAUCUAAAGCUAAAUAUCGGGGAGAGACCGAUAGCGAACAAGUACCGUGAGGGAAAGAUGAAAAGCACUUUGGAAAGAGAGUUAAAAGUACGUGAAAUUGUCGAAAGGGAAGCGCUUGAAGUCAGCCAUGCGCUCAGGACUCAGCCUGGCUUCUGCUGGGUGUACUUUCUGGGUUGCAAGUCAGCAUUGGUUCGGAUCGUCGGAGAAGCGUAGAAGGAAUGUGGCGUCUUCGGGCGUGUUAUAGACUUCUACUGGAUACGACGAUCUGGAUCAAGGAACGCAGCGCGCCUUUAUGGCGGGUCUUCGGACACCUUCGCGCUUAGGAUGCUGGCGUAAUGGCUUUAAGUGGCCCGUCUUGAAACACGGACCAAGGAGUCUAACAUAUGUGCGAGUUUUUGGGUGGCAAACCCAUAAGCGUAAUGAAAGUGAAUGCAGGUGGGAUCCGCAAGGAGCACCAUCGACCGGCCCUGAUCUUCUGGGAUGGGUCUGAGUAAGAGCAUAUCUGUUGGGACCCGAAAGAUGGUGAACUAUGCCUGAAUAGGGCGAAGCCAGAGGA
rnacentral:rRNA from 1 species